AUGCUUGGGAGACGAAGAUGGGAGCCCACUUCGAAGGGCCCCCGAGAAGGCACCAAAGAAGGCCCAGAGAGGCUUAACAACUUCCUCAGAAUCACACAGCUUGCAAAGGGUCGGGCUGGGUUUACGUGUAGGCAGUCUGGCUCCAGAGCCGGUACUCCCAACCAUUGCAAGCAACAAACCUCAACGAAGUGGAGAAGGAAAUGCUGGGAAAUUUGGAAGUCAGCCAUGGCCUGUGAAGACCUUUUAAAAUGCUCCGUUUUGGUCAGAAAGUGCUGGGACCCUGGGCUGGCACACCCAACACUCACCAGGAACGAAGUACCUGCUGCCUGUUUUGGACUCGUGUUGGCAGCUUGUUAGCUUUCAUGCCGCCAUUCUCUCUCUCUCUUUUUUUUUAAUUGACAAGACUCUAAUACAAAGUUAUAUUUAUUUUCAACAAUGAAAACAACACAACGUGGAGUCAAUCCACUAUUUAGCACAAUGUUUAGCACAAACUCUACUCAAUAAAUAGAAACACAUUAACCA
rnacentral:lncRNA from 13 species